GAUGAACGCUGGCGGCGUGCCUAAUACAUGCAAGUCGAGCGAAUGGAUUAAGAGCUUGCUCUUAUGAAGUUAGCGGCGGACGGGUGAGUAACACGUGGGUAACCUGCCCAUAAGACUGGGAUAACUCCGGGAAACCGGGGCUAAUACCGGAUAACACUUUGAACCGCAUGGUUCGAAAUUGAAAGGCGGCUUCGGCUGUCACUUAUGGAUGGACCCGCGUCGGAUUAGCUAGUUGGUGAGGUAACGGCUCACCAAGGCAACGAUGCGUAGCCGACCUGAGAGGGUGAUCGGCCACACUGGGACUGAGAAACUGACCAGACUCCUACGGGAGGCAGCAGUAGGGAAUCUUCCGCAAUGGACGAAAGUCUGACGGAGCAACGCCGCGUGAGUGAUGAAGGCGUUCGGGACGUAAAAGUCUGUUGUUAGGGAAGAACAAGUGCUAGUUGAAUAAGCUGGCACCUUGACGGUACCUAACCAGAAAGCCACGGCUAACUACGUGCCAGCCGCCGCAGUAA
rnacentral:rRNA from 1 species